AUAGUUAUCUAGGGGUGGCAAAACAGGCCUGAGAUCAUACCCUCCGAACCUGAACUGGGUAAUUCCAGCGUAGGGAGACGAUGAAUUCAAUCAUG
rnacentral:ncRNA from 2 species